CAGCUUGCUGGGUGGAUUAGUGGCGAACGGGUGAGUAAUACGUGAGUAACCUGCCUUUAACUCUGGGAUAAGCCUUGGAAACGAGGUCUAAUACCGGAUACGACCAGUUCCCGCAUGGGAUGCUGGUGGAAAGGGAUAUGUACUGGUUUUAGAUGGGCUCACGGCCUAUCAGCUUGUUGGUGAGGUAACGGCUCACCAAGGCGACGACGGGUAGCCGGCCUGAGAGGGUGACCGGCCACACUGGGACUGAGACACGGCCCAGACUCCUACGGGAGGCAGCAGUGGGGAAUAUUGCACAAUGGGCGCAAGCCUGAUGCAGCGACGCCGCGUGAGGGAUGACGGCCUUCGGGUUGUAAACCUCUUUCAGCAGGGAAGAAGCGAAAGUGACGGUACCUGCAGAAGAAGCGCCGGCUAACUACGUGCCAGCAGCCGCGGUAAUACGUAGGGCGCGAGCGUUGUCCGGAAUUAUUGGGCGUAAAGAGCUUGUAGGCGGUUUGUCGCGUCUGCUGUGAAAGCCCGGGGCUUAACCCCGGGUUUGCAGUGGGUACGGGCUAACUAGAGUGCAGUAGGGGAGACUGGAAUUCCUGGUGUAGCGGUGAAAUGCGCAGAUAUCAGGAGGAACACCAAUGGCGAAGGCAGGUCUCUGGGCUGUAACUGACGCUGAGAAGCGAAAGCAUGGGGAGCAAACAGGAUUAGAUACCCUGGUAGUCCAUGCCGUAAACGUUGGGCACUAGGUGUGGGGGACAUUCCACGUUUUCCGCGCCGUAGCUAACGCAUUAAGUGCCCCGCCUGGGGAGUACGGCCGCAAGGCUAAAACUCAAAGAAAUUGACGGGGGCCCGCACAAGCGGCGGAGCAUGCGGAUUAAUUCGAUGCAACGCGAAGAACCUUACCAAGGCUUGACAUAUACUGGACCGCUCUA
rnacentral:rRNA from 1 species